rnacentral:misc_RNA from 1 species
CCAAUAGCGUAUAUUAAAGUUGUUGCGGUUAAAAAGCUCGUAGUUGAAUUUCGGGAUUGACGUGACGGUCAUGCCUUAAGGGGUAUGAACUGUUGCUGUUGAUUUCUCACCUUCUGGAGAAACUUGAUGUCCUUUAUUGGGUGUCUUGCGGAUCCAGGACCUUUACCUUGAAAAAAUUAGAGUGUUUAAAGCAGGCAUUUUUGCUCGAAUACAUUAGCAUGGAAUAAUAGAAUAGGACGGCAUGGUUCUAUUUUGUUGGUUUCUAGGAUCACCGUAAUGAUUAAUAGGGAUAGUUGGGGGCAUUAGUAUUCAAUUGUCAGAGGUGAAAUUCUUGGAUUUAUUGAAGACUAACUACUGCGAAAGCAUUUGCCAAGGAUGUUUUCAUUAAUCAAGAACGAAAGUUAGGGGAUCGAAGACGAUCAGAUACCGUCGUAGUCUUAACCAUAAACUAUGCCGACUAGGAAUCAGACGAUGUUAAUUUUUUAAUGACUCGUUUGGCACCUUACG